AUUGAACGCUGGCGGCAGGCCUAACACAUGCAAGUCGAGCGGCAGCGGGAAAGUAGCUUGCUACUUUUGCCGGCGAGCGGCGGACGGGUGAGUAAUGCAUGGGGAUCUGCCCAGUCGAGGGGGAUAACUACUGGAAACGGUAGCUAAUACCGCAUACGCCCUACGGGGGAAAGCAGGGGACCUUCGGGCCUUGCGCGAUUGGAUGAACCCAGGUGGGAUUAGCUAGUUGGGGAGGUAAUGGCUCACCAAGGCGACGCUCCCUAGGUGGGCUGAGUGGAUGAUCAGCCACACUGGAACUGAGACACGGUCCAGACUCCUACGGGAGGCGGCAGUGGGGAAUAUUGCACAAUGGGGGAAACCCUGAUGCAGCCAUGCCGCGUGUGUGAAGAAGGCCUUCGGGUUGUAAAGCACUUUCAGCGAGGAGGAAAGGUUGGUAGCUAAUAACUGCCAGCUGUGACGUUACUCGCAGAAGAAGCACCGGCUAACUCCGUGCCAGCAGCCGCCGUAAUAC
rnacentral:rRNA from 1 species